rnacentral:rRNA from 1 species
UACGAAGGGUGCAAGCGUUACUCGGAAUUACUGGGCGUAAAGCGCGUGUAGGCUGUUCGGAAAGUCGGGUGUGAAAGCCCUGGGCUCAACCUAGGAAGUGCACUCGAAACUCCCGAACUGGAGUCCCGGAGAGGAAGGUGGAAUUCUCGGUGUAGAGGUGAAAUUCGUAGAUAUCGAGAGGAACAUCGGUGGCGAAGGCGGCCUUCUGGACGGUGACUGACGCUGAGACGCGAAAGCGUGGGGAGCAAACAGG